UCCAACAUCCUCGAAGUCCGGGACAAAACGCCAGCCAUGUACACGCGCGGCACCGUCAAGAACCACGAAAUCUUCCUCAACUGCGCUGUUGACAGGUAUCCAGACGAAUACUUACUAACCGUGGAACGGACUUAUCCUAGAAGGCAUUCAGUGGCCCUCAUCACGAAUCUGAGAGAACAGCCUCAGACAAGGGAUCUCUCGUCUAUUUACUUCGGUGGCUACGUGCUUGGAGGAAUAAGUCACUACCUGGACGGCCAGUACCUUCAGUUCCACUCUUUGACCGUUUUCCCUGGCGAGGCGCUCAUCGUCAAACUCGACAAGUGAACAGACAACAGGAACAAAGAAACUUGUUGAAAAAAUCGCGGACCUACUAUGGUACUGUCGUGGACCGUACGUUGUUCUUUAAGGUGAUUCGAUGGACGCCAUAUUUUGUGUCAGAACGACAUGCGAUAUAUCGCAUCUAUUGGUUCCAUUUUUUCAGCUACUCGUCAUUUUUCUCCAAUUUUGAGAUCGCAAUUCUGUUGUCAGGAGACUAUAGCACUCACUUACCAAUGUUAUCAAAGAAAUUCAACGUAAUAAAGGCGUGGCUUUUUAGAGAGAAAAUAUCGCAUUCGAGUGCAGUUUCGAUACCGGUAUCGAAUACGAUGUUUUCUCUCUAAAAAAAAAACCACGCCUUUAUUACGUUGAAUUUCUUUGUUAAAAUUGGUAAGUGAGUGCUAUAGUCUCCUGACAACAGAAUUGCGAUCUCAAAAUUGGAGAAAAAUGACGAAUAGCUGAAAAAAUGGAACCAAUUGAUGCGAUUUAUCGCAUGCCGUUCUGACACAAAAUAUGGCGUCCAUCGAAUCACCUUAGUAGUCUCGCUGUAAACAGAUACUCUCUACUUGAUGUCCUCCAUAGGUCUGAUAUCCACCGCGGACUGCAGGUGCGCUACGGUUGUUUACCCGAGAGGCCCUCCAAGUCCAAGAGGAAUUCUAUCUGUUCAUUUUAAAAAUGUGACGCAUAAAUAAGUCGUUUGGGUCGAGUUUUUACUUCUCAGCUAAAUCAUUUACUAGCUCAUUCGAUGACUUAUAUGUAGAUCCAAUGAUCAGAGCAAGGCGAAACAGUGCAUUUGAUUGAAAUGCGUAUGAAUAAUUUGAUUCACAUUAACCUUCUAACGGGAAAGAACAUUCAGUUUACAUCCCGAAUGUGUAAGUAGCGCUGCGUUGCGUGCGUACAAAAUUAGCUAAAAAUUUCGUUUAGAAGACAAUUUUUACGGAAAAUGAGAGAGAAAAAUAGGAUCGGAAAUUUUUUUACAGAACCAUGAUUUACAGUUACGCGGUUUUUACGAGAGAAUACUCAGGGUGUAACAUUUAGUUAUUUACUCCUGAGGAAGUUUCAUUUAUGACGAUUUUUUUAAAAAAAUUAAUGACUCUUUUGAUUCGAGAAUAUAAUUAUCUCUUGAGUUGAAAAUGGUGGAAACUCUGUAACUUAGAAAUAGUAAUACACUGAUGCGCGCUCUAAUGUAUGGAGCGAAUGGGUAACUAUACUAAAAAUUUAAUACGAUGAGUGUUUUUAUCAGAUAUGAAUAACAUUUAAUUUUUUAUCAUCGUGAAAAGGGUGAACAACGUGGCAAAAUACUAUAGAAAUAAAAUUUAUUUUGUUACCUCCUUGUUCUUAAAUUAAUAUCAUCAUAAGGGUGAUGAUGCAGAUACGAAGAGGACAUAUUUGAGCUGCAUUGCUUAAAAAUUGAAGACGCCUAGAUUCUCAUCCUCCUAAAUCUUUCCUAUUCUUGAAAAAUCGACCAGGAAAAAUAUUUUUCUAAACGAUAGUCGUAGUAUUACGUGAUUAGUCAAUAAGUUUAUGUUAAGCAAACACGGAUAUCACUUUUUAUGAUAAAUUUAAGAGUAAAUUUUAAGAACGGAAUUUGAAAUUGAUUUAUGAAAUUUUUAUUUUCUCUUACAGUGAAAGCAAAACAGAAUUUUUAGUCAUUAUGAGAAAAAUUCUUGAAAAAAUGGAGGAAUAAAAAUCUAAUUAAUGAGCAUUCGCCAUACGCUUAAAUGUUUAUGUAAUGUAGAAUUGCAGACUCAACGAAGGAUUACAAUAUAACAUAAUAAAUAAAACAGCACUGUCACAUUUGGGAGCAAAAAACUUACUGGCCAAGGAGGGUGAUUUUUUCUGUACUUAAAAGUCCUACAUGAGAAAAACAAAUCAAAGGGGCUUUGUGCCCCCAUCAAAUUUAUAUCAAAGGUCCUUACUUAUAGAUAGCUUACUUACAUGUAGAUAAUCAUUAAAUGAGUUAGAGGUAAUAAAUGCGAUAAUAUCACCGAAUCGUAUUAUUAUUGCCUAUUUACUCUCUGUACGUUUUUCUGCAUUUAAGUUUAAACGACAUUACACCUUCAUUUUGUUUUCAUUUGCUCAAAGUUGGUCAUGGCUAAGGUCAAGUUUUCUUUGGUCCAAUCUUCAACGUUACGAUGGAUUUGGUAAAAUUGUAAGGUGAUACUAUUUUGUAUUAUUUUUAUUCAAUACUGGAAAAGAUUUAAGAUGCGGAAAUUCAUGAAAAGUUAGAAUAAAUUGGUGCUAUUUUACUCGACAGGCUAUAAAAUAGCCUUCUAUCUGUAUUAUUUUAUUCAUGUCAAUCAAUGUUCUAUACCUCGGAAAUGUAGCAGAUGAGCGGAUUUCUUAAUGUUUGUGACUCCCGGAGAAAGCAUUCUAACAAAAUGAGAGAAAAAAGGAAAAACUUUCAAAUUUUUGCUUAAUCAGAUUAGGUAAACCUUCAAAUGAUAAAUAAAAAAAAUAUUUGAUUGGAGUUUUAAUAAAGUAGUUUGAUUUUUAAUGUAUAAAUCAGAUCAUUUGGAUGUCGCAAGCUAGUCUCAUUUGAAUUGACAGAAAUCUAAAAUGACCUGCUUUCUCUUGGAAGAUUCACGGACCUUUUUAUACAUUUCAUCUGUGCUGAUUCUGUUAAUCACUGAUUCACCUCUGAUAAUUUUUACAGAGUAUUUUAAUAAACGUUUUUAUUUGUUCAU
rnacentral:lncRNA from 1 species